AAAACAAGGGACACCAUUGUGGCCAAAGGAACAGGUAAAAAAUAUAAAGUGUCAUAAAUUUGGAACCAUCUCACUUUAACGGCAUGACUAUGAGCUUCCAGAUCAGUGACUCCCUGUUUGCCUUAGUGGUGUAUAAUUUAGAAUCCUAUUUGGAAAAUAAAGCUGUUUCUACUAGAAUAUGAUCCAUGACUUCUGUAAACAUUGUAAAAUAUCAUUGUUGACAAUCUGCCAUCUGGUAUUAUCACAGUCUCUUAAGAAUGUGAAUCUUUUUGUAAAGUCCUGUAAACUGUGUUUUUCAAUAUCUUCACUUGAAGACCAAUAUGAUGGAUUUUUGAUAAUGAUCAUAAGUUUUGAUAUAGCCCCUUUUAGAC
rnacentral:lncRNA from 1 species